rnacentral:rRNA from 1 species
AUAACAGUUAGAAAUGACUGCUAAUACCGCAUAAGACCACAGCACCGCAUGGUGCAGGGGUAAAAACUCCGGUGGUAUGAGAUGGACCCGCGUCUGAUUAGGUAGUUGGUGGGGUAACGGCCUACCAAGCCGACGAUCAGUAGCCGACCUGAGAGGGUGACCGGCCACAUUGGGACUGAGACACGGCCCAAACUCCUACGGGAGGCAGCAGUGGGGAAUAUUGCACAAUGGGGGAAACCCUGAUGCAGCGACGCCGCGUGAGCGAUGAAGUAUUUCGGUAUGUAAAGCUCUAUCAGCAGGGAAGAAAAUGACGGUACCUGACUAAGAAGCACCGGCUAAAUACGUGCCAGCAGCCGCGGUAAUACGUAUGGUGCAAGCGUUAUCCGGAUUUACUGGGUGUAAAGGGAGCGUAGACGGAGUGGCAAGUCUGAUGUGAAAACCCGGGGCUCAACCCCGGGACUGCAUUGGAAACUGUCAAUCUAGAGUACCGGAGAGGUAAGCGGAAUUCCUAGUGUAGCGGUGAAAUGCGUAGAUAUUAGGAGGAACACCAGUGGCGAAGGCGGCUUACUGGACGGUAACUGACGUUGAGGCUCGAAAGCGUGGGGAGCAAACAGGAUUAGAUACCCUGGUAGUCCACGCCGUAAAC